rnacentral:rRNA from 1 species
AGAGUUUGAUCCUGGCUCAGGAUGAACGCUGGCGGCGUGCCUAACACAUGCAAGUCGAACGGAGUUCUUAAGGAAUGCGACUUCGGUCAAAUGACUUUUGAACUUAGUGGCGGACGGGUGAGUAACGCGUGAGCAACCUGCCUUUCAGAGGGGGAUAACAUUUGGAAACAGAUGCUAAUACCGCAUAAGAUUACAGUACCGCAUGAUACAGUGAUCAAAGGAGCAAUCCGCUGAAAGAUGGGCUCGCGUCCGAUUAGAUAGUUGGUGAGGUAACGGCUCACCAAGUCGACGAUCGGUAGCCGGACUGAGAGGUUGAACGGCCACAUUGGGACUGAGACACGGCCCAGACUCCUACGGGAGGCAGCAGUGGGGAAUAUUGCACAAUGGGGGAAACCCUGAUGCAGCGACGCCGCGUGGAGGAAGAAGGUCUUCGGAUUGUAAACUCCUGUUGUUGAGGAAGAUAAUGACGGUACUCAACAAGGAAGUGACGGCUAACUACGUGCCAGCAGCCGCGGUAAAACGUAGGUCACAAGCGUUGUCCGGAAUUACUGGGUGUAAAGGGAGCGCAGGCGGGCGAUCAAGUUGGAAGUGAAAUCCAUGGGCUCAACCCAUGAACUGCUUUCAAAACUGAUUGUCUUGAGUAGUGCAGAGGUAGGCGGAAUUCCCGGUGUAGCGGUGGAAUGCGUAGAUAUCGGGAGGAACACCAGUGGCGAAGGCGGCCUACUGGGCACCAACUGACGCUGAGGCUCGAAAGUGUGGGUAGCAAACAGGAUUAGAUACCCUGGUAGUCCACACCGUAAACGAUGAUUACUAGGUGUUGGAGGAUUGACCCCUUCAGUGCCGCAGUUAACACAAUAAGUAAUCCACCUGGGGAGUACGACCGCAAGGUUGAAACUCAAAGGAAUUGACGGGGGCCCGCACAAGCAGUGGAGUAU